CCUACGGGAGGCAGCAGUGAGGAAUAUUGGUCAAUGGGCUUACGCCUGAACCAGCCAAGUCGCGUGAGGGAAGACUGCCCUAUGGGUUGUAAACCUCUUUUGUCAGGGAGCAACGCCGGCUACGUGUAGCCGGACUGAGAGUACCUGAAGAAAAAGCAUCGGCUAACUCCGUGCCAGCAGCCGCGGUAAUACGGAGGAUGCGAGCGUUAUCCGGAUUUAUUGGGUUUAAAGGGUGCGUAGGUGGCAUGUCAAGUCAGCGGUAAAAUGGCGGGGCUCAACCUCGCUCCGCCGUUGAAACUGGCGGUCUUGAGUGGGCGAGAAGUAUGCGGAAUGCGUGGUGUAGCGGUGAAAUGCAUAGAUAUCACGCAGAACUCCGAUUGCGAAGGCAGCAUACCGGCGCCCAACUGACGCUGAGGCACGAAAGCGUGGGUAUCGAACAGGAUUAGAUACCCCGGUAGUC
rnacentral:rRNA from 1 species